AUGCAAGUCGAACGCAGUAGCAAUACUGAGUGGCAAACGGGUGAGUAUAAUGUGGGAAUCUGCCUUUUGGUUUGGAAUAACACGGGGAAACUUGUGCUAAUACCGAAUAAGCCCUUACGGGGAAAGUUUUAAUGCCGAAAGAUGAGCCCGCACUUGAUUAGCUAGUUGGUAAGGUAAAAGCUUACCAAGGCAACGAUCAAUAGCUGUUCUUAGAGGAAGACCAGCCACAUUGGGACUGAGACACGGCCCAGACUCCUACGGGAGGCAGCAGUGGGGAAUCUUGCACAAUGGGGGAAACCCUGAUGCAGCGAUGCCGCGUGAGUGAAGAAGGCCCUUGGGUUGUAAAACUCUUUCGUCGGGGAAGAAAAUGACUGUACCCGAAUAAGAAGGUCCGGCUAACUUCGUGCCAGCAGCCGCGGUAAUACGAAGGGACCUAGCGUAGUUCGGAAUUACUGGGCUUAAAGGGCUCGUAGGUGGUUAAAAAAGUUGAUGGUGAAAUCCCAAGGCUUAACCUUGGAACUGCCAUCAAAACUUUUUAGCUAGAGUGUGAUAGAGGUAAGUGGAAUUUCUAGUGUAGAGGUGAAAUUCGUAGAUAUUAGAAAGAACACCAAAUGCGAAGGCAACUUACUGGGUCACUACUGACACUGAGGAGCGAAAGCAUGGGUAGCGAAGAGGAUUAGAUACCCUCGUAGUCCAUGCCGUAAACGAUGUGUGCUAGACGUUGGAGAUAUAUUUUUCAGUGUCGCAGCGAAAGCAUUAAGCACACCGCCUGGGGAGUACGACCGCAAGGUUAAAACUCAAAUGAAUUGACGGGGACCCGCACAAGCAGUGGAGCAUGUGGUUUAAUUCGAAGAUACGCGCAGAACCUUACCAACGCUUGACAUGUUCGUCGCGAAACUAAGAGAUUAGUUUCUUCAGUUCGGCUGGACGAAACACAGGUGCUGCAUGGCUGUCGUCAGCUCGUG
rnacentral:rRNA from 1 species